GACGAACGCUGGCGGCGUGCUUAACACAUGCAAGUCGAACGGAAAGGCCCUGCUUUUGUGGGGGGCUCGAGUGGCGAACGGGUGAGUAACACGGGAGUAACCUGCCCUUGACUUUGGGAUAACUUCAGGAAAAUGGGGCUAAUACCGGAUAGGAGCUCCUGCUGCAUGGUGGGGGGUGGAAAGUUUCGGCGGUUGGGGAUGGACUCGCGGCUUUUCAGCUUGUUGGUGGGGUAGUGGCUUACCAAGGCUUUGACGGGUAGCCGGCCUGAGAGGGUGACCGGCCACAUUGGGACUGAGAUACGGCCCAGACUCCUACGGGAGGCAGCAGUGGGGAAUAUUGCACAAUGGGCGGAAGCCUGAUGCAGCAACGCCGCGUGCGGGAUGACGGCCUUCGGGUUGUAAACCGCUUUCGCCUGUGACGAAGCGUGAGUGACGGUAAUGGGUAAAGAAGCACCGGCUAACUACGUG
rnacentral:rRNA from 1 species